GCCAGACUCCUACGGGAGGCAGCAGUGGGGGAUAUUGCACAAUGGGGGGAACCCUGAUGCAGCGACGCCGCGUGGGUGAAGGAGUAUUUCGGUAUGUAAAGCCCUAUCGGCAGGGAAGAAGCAAGACGGUACCUGACUAAGAAGCCCCGGCUAACUACGUGCCAGCAGCCGCGGUAAUACGUAGGGGGCGAGCGUUAUCCGGAUUCACUGGGUGUAAAGGGAGCGUAGACGGCCAUGCAAGCCAGGGGUGAAAGCUCGGGGCCCAACCCCGGGACUGCCCUUGGAACUGCAUGGCUGGAGUGCGGGAGGGGCAGGCGGAAUUCCUGGUGUAGCGGUGAAAUGCGUAGAUAUCAGGAGGAACACCGGCGGCGAAGGCGGCCUGCUGGACCGUGACUGACGUUGAGGCUCGAGAGCGUGGGGAGCAAACAGGAUUAGAUACCCUUGUA
rnacentral:rRNA from 1 species